rnacentral:rRNA from 1 species
CGGACGGGUGAGGAAUACAUCGGAAUCUACUCUGUCGUGGGGGAUAACGUAGGGAAACUUACGCUAAUACCGCAUACGACCUACGGGUGAAAGCAGGGGAUCUUCGGACCUUGCGCAUUGAAUGAGCCGAUGUCGGAUUAGCUAGUUGGCGGGGUAAAGGCCCACCAAGGCGACGAUCCGUAGCUGGUCUGAGAGGAUGAUCAGCCACACUGGAACUGAGACACGGUCCAGACUCCUACGGGAGGCAGCAGUA